AUGAACGCUGGCGGCAUGCCUAACCCAUGCAAGUCGAUCGGUAAGGCUCUUCGGAGUACCCGAGAGGCGGACGGCUGAGUAACGCGUAGGAACACACCCUGCAGUGAGGGAUAAGACACCGAAAGGUGUUCUAAUACCGCAUACGGUCUUCGGAUUAAAGCAUUUAUGCGCUGAAGGAGUGGCCUGCGUCAUAUUAGAUAGUUGGUGAGGUAAUGGCUCACCAAGUCGAUGAUGUGUAGCUGGUCUGAGAGGAUGAUCAGCCAGACUGGAACUGAGACACGGUCCAGACUCCUACGGGAGGCAGCAGUGAGGAAUAUUUCACAAUGAGCGAAAGCUUGAUGGAGCAAUGCCGCGUGCAGGAUGAAGGCCCUCGGGUUGUAAACUGCUUUUAUAAGAGAAGAUUAUGACGGUAACUUAUGAAUAAGGGACGGCUAACUACGUG
rnacentral:rRNA from 1 species